rnacentral:rRNA from 1 species
CCAGACUCCUACGGGAGGCAGCAGUGAGGAAUAUUGGUCAAUGGGCGGAAGCCUGAACCAGCCAAGUCGCGUGAGGGAAUAAGGCCCUACGGGUCGUAAACCUCUUUUGCCGGGGAGCAAGGGCGGGGACGUGUCCCGGCCCGGAGAGUACCCGGAGAAAAAGCAUCGGCUAACUCCGUGCCAGCAGCCGCGGUAAUACGGAGGAUGCGAGCGUUAUCCGGAUUUAUUGGGUUUAAAGGGUGCGUAGGCGGGCUUUUAAGUCAGCGGUAAAAAUUCGGGGCUCAACCCCGUCCGGCCGUUGAAACUGGGGGCCUUGAGUGGGCGAGAAGAAGGCGGAAUGCGUGGUGUAGCGGUGAAAUGCAUAGAUAUCACGCAGAACCCCGAUUGCGAAGGCAGCCUUCCGGCGCCCUACUGACGCUGAGGCACGAAAGUGCGGGGAUCGAACAGGAUUAGAUACCCCAGUA